CGCCCAGAAAAAGUAAGAAACAGCGCUACAGAAGCCGGAAACCAGUCAAAUCCCUCAGAUGAAAGCAAAUAAGAGCAGCGCGGGAGSAAAGGCUUCUGUCUGAAGCUGACGAAGCAACCAGUAUUAAAGUUAGAGUUGCCACUCCUUGUAGUCAAAAAACAAUGUUCUUCUCUCCGGAUGGUAGCAAUCAGAAAGAAGUACAAGAAAAGAGGCCGAAGUAUAUAAUUUGAAGACAGAAAUGAAAACCUUGAGAAGAGCAAUGAAAGAAAAGAACGAGCAAGUAGAACAGCAAAUAUCAGAAAAACA